rnacentral:rRNA from 1 species
CCUACGGGAGGCAGCAGGGGGGAAUUUUGGACAAUGGGCGAAAGCCUGAUCCAGCAAUGCCGCGUGAGUGAAGAAGGCCUUCGGGUUGUAAAGCUCUUUUGUCAGGGAAGAAACGGUGAAAGCUAAUAUCUUUUGCUAAUGACGGUACCUGAAGAAUAAGCACCGGCUAACUACGUGCCAGCAGCCGCGGUAAUACGUAGGGUGCAAGCGUUAAUCGGAAUUACUGGGCGUAAAGCGUGCGCAGGCGGUUUUGUAAGUCUGAUGUGAAAUCCCCGGGCUCAACCUGGGAAUUGCAUUGGAGACUGCAAGGCUAGAAUCUGGCAGAGGGGGGUAGAAUUCCACGUGUAGCAGUGAAAUGCGUAGAUAUGUGGAGGAACACCGAUGGCGAAGGCAGCCCCCUGGGUCAAGAUUGACGCUCAUGCACGAAAGCGUGGGGAGCAAACAGGAUUAGAUACCCUGGUAGUCCACGCCCUAAACGAUGUCUACUAGUUGUCGGGUCUUAAUUGACUUGGUAACGCAGCUAACGCGUGAAGUAGACCGCCUGGGGAUCGGUGCAAGNUUAAAACUUAAGGAAUUGAGG